rnacentral:rRNA from 1 species
UUAAGCGACUAAGCGUACACGGUGGAUGCCCUGGCAGUCAGAGGCGAUGAAGGACGUGCUAAUCUGCGAUAAGCGUCGGUAAGGUGAUAUGAACCGUUAUAACCGGCGAUUUCCGAAUGGGGAAACCCAGUGUGAUUCGUCACACUAUCAUUAACUGAAUCCAUAGGUUAAUGAGGCGAACCGGGGGAACUGAAACAUCUAAGUACCCCGAGGAAAAGAAAUCAACCGAGAUUCCCCAGUAGCGGCGAGCGAACGGGGAGGAGCCCAGAGCCUGAAUCAGUGUGUGUGUUAGUGGAAGCGUCUGGAAAGGCGCGCGAUACAGGGUGACAGCCCCGUACACAAAAAUGCACAUGCUGUGAGCUCGAUGAGUAGGGCGGGACACGUGGUAUCCUGUCUGAAUAUGGGGGGACCAUCCUCCAAGGCUAAAUACUCCUGACUGACCGAUAGUGAACCAGUACCGUGAGGGAAAGGCGAAAAGAACCCCGGCGAGGGGAGUGAAAAAGAACCUGAAACCGUGUACGUACAAGCAGUGGGAGCCUCUUUAUGGGGUGACUGCGUACCUUUUGUAUAAUGGGUCAGCGACUUAUAUUCUGUAGCAAGGUUAACCGAAUAGGGGAGCCGAAGGGAAACCGAGUCUUAACUGGGCGUUAAGUUGCAGGGUAUAGACCCGAAACCCGGUGAUCUAGCCAUGGGCAGGUUGAAGGUUGGGUAACACUAACUGGAGGACCGAACCGACUAAUGUUGAAAAAUUAGCGGAUGACUUGUGGCUGGGGGUGAAAGGCCAAUCAAACCGGGAGAUAGCUGGUUCUCCCCGAAAGCUAUUUAGGUAGCGCCUCGUGAAUUCAUCUCCGGGGGUAGAGCACUGUUUCGGCAAGGGGGUCAUCCCGACUUACCAACCCGAUGCAAACUGCGAAUACCGGAGAAUGUUAUCACGGGAGACACACGGCGGGUGCUAACGUCCGUCGUGAAGAGGGAAACAACCCAGACCGCCAGCUAAGGUCCCAAAGUCAUGGUUAAGUGGGAAACGAUGUGGGAAGGCCCAGACAGCCAGGAUGUUGGCUUAGAAGCAGCCAUCAUUUAAAGAAAGCGUAAUAGCUCACUGGUCGAGUCGGCCUGCGCGGAAGAUGUAACGGGGCUAAACCAUGCACCGAAGCUGCGGCAGCGACACUAUGUGUUGUUGGGUAGGGGAGCGUUCUGUAAGCCUGCGAAGGUGUACUGUGAGGUAUGCUGGAGGUAUCAGAAGUGCGAAUGCUGACAUAAGUAACGAUAAAGCGGGUGAAAAGCCCGCUCGCCGGAAGACCAAGGGUUCCUGUCCAACGUUAAUCGGGGCAGGGUGAGUCGACCCCUAAGGCGAGGCCGAAAGGCGUAGUCGAUGGGAAACAGGUUAAUAUUCCUGUACUUGGUGUUACUGCGAAGGGGGGACGGAGAAGGCUAUGUUGGCCGGGCGACGGUUGUCCCGGUUUAAGCGUGUAGGCUGGUUUUCCAGGCAAAUCCGGAAAAUCAAGGCUGAGGCGUGAUGACGAGGCACUACGGUGCUGAAGCAACAAAUGCCCUGCUUCCAGGAAAAGCCUCUAAGCAUCAGGUAACAUCAAAUCGUACCCCAAACCGACACAGGUGGUCAGGUAGAGAAUACCAAGGCGCUUGAGAGAACUCGGGUGAAGGAACUAGGCAAAAUGGUGCCGUAACUUCGGGAGAAGGCACGCUGAUAUGUAGGUGAAGUCCCUCGCGGAUGGAGCUGAAAUCAGUCGAAGAUACCAGCUGGCUGCAACUGUUUAUUAAAAACACAGCACUGUGCAAACACGAAAGUGGACGUAUACGGUGUGACGCCUGCCCGGUGCCGGAAGGUUAAUUGAUGGGGUUAGCGCAAGCGAAGCUCUUGAUCGAAGCCCCGGUAAACGGCGGCCGUAACUAUAACGGUCCUAAGGUAGCGAAAUUCCUUGUCGGGUAAGUUCCGACCUGCACGAAUGGCGUAAUGAUGGCCAGGCUGUCUCCACCCGAGACUCAGUGAAAUUGAACUCGCUGUGAAGAUGCAGUGUACCCGCGGCAAGACGGAAAGACCCCGUGAACCUUUACUAUAGCUUGACACUGAACAUUGAGCCUUGAUGUGUAGGAUAGGUGGGAGGCUUUGAAGUGUGGACGCCAGUCUGCAUGGAGCCGACCUUGAAAUACCACCCUUUAAUGUUUGAUGUUCUAACGUUGGCCCCUGAUCGGGGUUGCGGACAGUGUCUGGUGGGUAGUUUGACUGGGGCGGUCUCCUCCUAAAGAGUAACGGAGGAGCACGAAGGUUGGCUAAUCCUGGUCGGACAUCAGGAGGUUAGUGCAAUGGCAUAAGCCAGCUUGACUGCGAGCGUGACGGCGCGAGCAGGUGCGAAAGCAGGUCAUAGUGAUCCGGUGGUUCUGAAUGGAAGGGCCAUCGCUCAACGGAUAAAAGGUACUCCGGGGAUAACAGGCUGAUACCGCCCAAGAGUUCAUAUCGACGGCGGUGUUUGGCACCUCGAUGUCGGCUCAUCACAUCCUGGGGCUGAAGUAGGUCCCAAGGGUAUGGCUGUUCGCCAUUUAAAGUGGUACGCGAGCUGGGUUUAGAACGUCGUGAGACAGUUCGGUCCCUAUCUGCCGUGGGCGCUGGAGAACUGAGGGGGGCUGCUCCUAGUACGAGAGGACCGGAGUGGACGCAUCACUGGUGUUCGGGUUGUCAUGCCAAUGGCACUGCCCGGUAGCUAAAUGCGGAAGAGAUAAGUGCUGAAAGCAUCUAAGCACGAAACUUGCCCCGAGAUGAGUUCUCCCUGACCCUUUAAGGGUCCUGAAGGAACGUUGAAGACGACGACGUUGAUAGGCCGGGUGUGUAAGCGCAGCGAUGCGUUGAGCUAACCGGUACUAAUGAACCGUGAGGCUUAACCUU